CACUAUUUUGGACCUAUACAGAUACUAUUCAAAAACGAUGACUGUUAGCAGCUGAGAACAUUUGUAUGAUUCUUAUCACCCAGAAAUCAUAACUUUUUAUCCAAGAGAGUUAAAUGUCUUCUACAUGGUAUCAAUGUUCGUGGAGCCAAGUCCUCGCCGAGGAAUAGGAGCGUUUAAUCGUUUUCUGGAAAUGUAAGCUUUGAGGUACCCCAAAUAGGAUCUUCCAUCAACAUAUGUACCUUUUUCUCAAAAAUUAUGCUAGAACGUAUAUAUCUCGUUAGGUUAAAUGUCUUUGGAGGUAUGUUUUUCGUCCCAUGCUCACAGUUUUUUUUUUUUUGAAAAGGGUGAGUAGCAUAUUUUAUAAAGUUGUAUACUAUUUCUGAAGAUGACAAAAAAAAAAAUCAUUUCUAUUUUCAGAUUCUGCUAAUGUUCUUCUUAUUUAAUUAUAAACUACGGAUUUCAUGUUGAAAAGAUAGAAUCCCAGGACUUGAAUAGUAGUGGCUUCCACUUUGCUGGAUCAUUCAAAAGCCUCCAAUUGAAACAAAAAUCUCGCAGUUUGUUGGCAUAUCUGUCGGAAUAUCUAUACAUCAGAAAAUAAAAGUCAGUAGCUGUUCUGGAAACUUAAAACUGGUCAUCAGAAACUUUUCCAGAGUCCAGUUUCAAGGAUGUCAUUUUA
rnacentral:lncRNA from 1 species